rnacentral:rRNA from 1 species
CCCUUAGAUGUUCUGGGCUGCACACGUGCUACACUGGCAGGUUCAGCGAGCUUCAUGCCCUGAUCUGAAAGGAAUGGGAAAUCUUUUCAAAACCUGCCGUGCUUGGGAUAGAUGUUUGCAAUUAUACAUCUUCAACGAGGAUUGCCUUGUAAGCGCACGUCAUCAGCGUGCAUUGAAUACGACCCUGUAUUCUGUACACACCGCCCGUCGCUCCUACCGAUUGAAGUUUUCGGUGAGUUGACAGGAGGAUUUUUUUGAAACUGGUUCGCCAGUGGAUUUUAGAUCCAAAUGCCAACGAAUCGAUGGCUUUAGAGGAAGGAGAAGUCGUAACA